CGGGGCGUAGCGCAGCCUGGUUAGCGCACCUGAUUUGGGAUCAGGGGGUCGUGAGUUCGAAUCCCACCGCCCCGACCA
rnacentral:tRNA from 1 species